rnacentral:miRNA from 1 species
UGCAUUUUUUGGUAAGACGAUGUUAACAAAAGUUGUUCGUCUUGAUGAGGGCUAAAACUUUGCUUAAUAUCCUUUUAACAAAUUAUGUGUAUUUAAGAAGAUAGCGCUGCGCAUGCGCAGAACGUAACUCCUUACGCUUGCAUUUUUUGGUAAGACGAUGUUAACAAAAGUUGUUCGUCUUGAUGAGGACUACAACUUUGCUUAAUAUCCUUUUAACAAAUUAUGCA